CCUGCCACCACGCCCUGCUAAUUUUCGUAUUUUUAGUAGAGGCGGGGUUUCACUAUUUUGGCCAGGCUGGUCUCGAACUCCUGACCUUGUGAUCCGCCUGAAAGUUUAUCUUUUAUACUGAUUUGUUUACAUCAGGUUUGCUUAAAGCAAGGCACACAAACUGUCUUCUGAAACCACUGUCAACCACACAACUUUUAAAUUGUUACCUCACUUCGUUAUAGUCUUUUUGGUUCUCUGGAGCCUAGGAUUCACCAUGGCUGCUUUAAAGUGAGCUAUCAGGCAGACAGUAUUGUUGAUCUUUCACACAAUUAUGGGCUAGCAAAUAGAUAAUUAAAACAGGUUAAGGAAGACAAAAGGUAGUUAUACUAUUCAGCUAAUACUUAAAUGGCAACUUGAUAUGUUUUCUACAGUCCUUGUCUUAUAGCAGCUUGCAAUAUAGUAGGAACAUAAGAUUUAAACAAAUAGUUGCAAAGUAAGGCAGCCCAUAUGAUGUGCCAUUUGGUAGAAAUAGUUAAGCUCUAUAGCAAUUCAGGGGAGGAAGAGAUUGCUUUCAGCUAGAGUAUUUCAUCUCCUUAUAACCUAGUUGUACAACUGGGAUGUACCUAUGCAUGACUUGUGUCUUUUUUGGAAGGUGGCUUCAGCUGGGUGGCCACAGCCAGUUGCCUUUCUUCUCUGUUGGUGGCUAUUUUCAGCCCUUACAAUCCCUUCAUUCUCCCCAUGAUUAGGACCCCACUGCUGUCAAAAAGCUUUCUGCUGUUAGGCACAGUUUUCAUCCUUUUUAAAGUACUGAUCCAAAAUACUGACAUGGUGGUGGGACUAAAAGUAGCAAGUAGAUGGGGAGAAGAAAGGGAAACUGUUAGGGUGCAGAAUCAGGAAUCUCAUUCUCUGUUGUAGAAGUUGCCCUUUUGACAGCAGCAUGGGUGAGGAGUAAUGAAAAGGUGAACCCUCUAUUCUGUGAAAAUCCCCAAAUGUAUGGUCCUGCCCUUCCCCACAUUCUUCCUCACCAUACCCUCUCAUCUCUUGGAAUUUUGGUUCCACACACCAUCCUGUCCCCACUCUCCCAUCCCCCACCAUCUCCUUUGUUCCAGAGCUGUGCUGCAGUUCUGAAUUUCCUGGCUGUUUGAAAUCUUGUCUUUCAGGCUAUUAGAGCCCAUCUUGCAAGUUGUAGGAAUCACCUCCAUGAUGAAGAAUUGACAUAGCUCCAUUGAGCUUUUCUGUUACUCCCUCUGAGCCUUUAGUAGGCCCCAAUGUAUACCUGAUGUCUAGGAGAAUCCUGAGUCCAUGAGUGUAAUUGCCUGUGGCAGAUUGCUCAUAUAUAACAUUUAACUUUGGUAUUACUAUUAGUACUAUAUGUCUGAAAGGUUUUAACAUUGCAUAAUGUUUUAACAUUGCAAACACAAUGUUUUAACAUUACAACUCUAAAAACAGGUUUGGUCUGAAACUUGGUUUGACCAUUUGCUAAUCUUUUAUACUUAAUUAAGAACCUUGCCUCAAUGUAAUGAUAAAAGUAUCUACUUAAAAAGGUUAUUGCAAGGAUCAUUUGAAUUAAUGCUUGCAAAUCUCCUGGUAUUUAAUGAACACUUAAUAAAUGUUAGUAGUUUUCAUGGCUAUCCUGAAAGUUCUUAGGGCCAUUCUUUCCCUCUCAGUAUUCUGUAAUCUACCAUUCUAGGCUAACACUUUAGUUAACGAUGUUUUAUUAAUACUAAGUCUUGUUCAUUAUAAUGGAAUCAUAGAAACAGUUUAAAU